rnacentral:rRNA from 1 species
AGAGUUGAUCCUGGCUCAGGAUGAACGCUGGCGGCGUGCCUAAUACAUGCAAGUGAAACGGGUAUCUUCGGAUACCAGUCGCGGACGGGUGAGUAAUACAUAGGCAACCUGCCUUUAUGAGGGGGGAUAACCGAGGGAAACUUUGGCUAAUACCGCAUGAAGACUCUAAGGCAUCUUAGAGGGAUAAAAGUUGGGAAACAACGCAUGAAGAUGGGCUUAUGGCGCAUUAGCUAGUUGGUGAGAUAGAAGCCCACCAAGGUAAUGAUGCGUAGCCGACCUGAGAGGGUGAACGGCCACAUUGGGACUGAGACACGGCCCAAACUCCUACGGGAGGCAGCAGUAGGGAAUUUUCGGCAAUGGGGGGAACCCUGACCGAGCAACGCCGCGUGAAGGAAGAAGGUUUUCGGAUUGUAAACUUCUGUUAUAAGGGAAGAACGGAUUGGAUAGGGAAUGAUCUGAUAGUGACGGUACCUUAUUAGAAAGCCACGGCUAACUACGUGCCAGCCGCCGC